rnacentral:rRNA from 1 species
UCUACGGGAGGCAGCAGUGAGGGAUAUUGGGCAAUGGGCGAAAGCAUGACCCAGCAACGCCGCGUGAGUGAAGAAGGUUUUCGGAUUGUAAAGCUCUGUCUUUGGGGACGAUAAUGACGGUACCCAAGGAGGAAGCCACGGCUAACUACGUGCCAGCAGCCGCGGUAAUA